rnacentral:sRNA from 1 species
AUACCCCCCAAAAAUAAAGAGCCUUGAAUACUAGAAGAAAAGCACCAUACCUAACAAAAUUAAGUGAGUGCAGUACUCCA